CGGCCUUCCGGCCCCUCCGGCUCACGCGGCCGGAAAACGUAGUUUUACACGCUUGCUGGCGAUUGGCUGGGAUGGAGCAAUCCGUCAUACACCCUUGUCCGAUUGGUUUGAUGAGCUCAGCGUGGGGCUGGGCUCACGGCGCCGGGCAGCAGCAUGGCUGACGGCGGCGUGUGGAGGCCUCCACGAACAUGUGAGGAUUAUUGGUCUGAAUGGAAACACUGUAAGGGCAUCCGUAAUUUAUUCCAUAACUAUUAUACGUAUGGGGAAGCGCCCUCCUGUGAACAGUGGAAAAUAGACUAUGGCAAUUGCAGAAAGUGGGAAAAAAGCAAAAGUCCAGAUGCUAAGGAAUCCCUAUGCAAGAGUGAAAGAGCCCGGAUUCUGGAAAAACAAAAGUAUGAUCCAGUGUGGAAGCUCAGGAAGAGCCCACCAAGGGACUGGUACCUUCCUCUUGGUCAAGAUAAACCAAAGCACCUCAGCAAAACCUGAAUUGGAGCUAAAGGAGAAAUUGACAGUUAUUAUCUUCCCACUACAGCAGACUGACAUACGAUCGCUUUAACAAUUUUUCUUCAUGGCAUAAUUAUACCCUCAGGAACUAUGGUUUGUCCAGAGUGAGGAAUUGUUACUCAGGAAUAAAUGAAAGGGGAAAAAUAUUCCAUAAGUGAAAAAUGUCCCUACAUGGGACCAUGCUUCAGUUUGUGGCACAAAAAUACAGUAGAGUAGUACCCUGUUUAUGUGGUCUAAUUGGGACCAGGGCCAGAUCCAAUAAUCAAAACUCUGAAUAAAUCAGGGAAUGGGAAAAUGCUAUGCCACAGCACCAUCUAAUGGCUACAGGAGAGAUUGCCUGCUUCUGGCCCUGGAGUCACGGUAAAUGCAGAGAACUGGCUAAGGGAGGAUUAGAUAAACGGGGUUCUAAAGUAUUUUGGUUUUAUUGUCAAGAUGGCCAGUUAUAAAAAGAAAGGGAACAAGACAGGUGGUGUUUUUAUUUUCUUUUGACAGCCACCUGCAUAGGGAUGUUUGAAAAAGCGAAAGAAAUAGUCUAGUCGCAUCCCAUUGUGUCCUCCUGUCAUGCCCUCUAAUGCAGCUGCGUGGCACAAUCUUCUGAUCUCACUGUGUGUACACUUUGGUAAUGUCGAUGCAUUUCCCUUCAGGAGCCUCAUAGCCAGGAACCUGUGGUGUGUAAGUAGGCCCCUCCUUCUCAAAGGGAAACAGGUCAUCAUCUCGUCUUAUUGCUGCUUGGUAAAGUUCUUCUGAUUCGAGACGCAAUUCCUCUAGUGCCUCCUGCUGAGCUGCCAUAAGAGACUUCAGUGUUUCCAUCUCUGCCUCAUGCUCUUUCUGCUUGUACAGGGCCCACUUCUUCAGGAGCAGGGCUCGCCUUUCACUCUCCUCAAAGGACAGCGGGGAGAUAUCUCGCACUCUGGCAAACGUGAAAGAACAUUUUAACACAGAAGCUGCUGACAUCCCAAAGAGCAAGCAUCUAACAAAAACUACAGUGAGAUACAAAGAGGCAAGUUGGCCCAAACACACAAUACUCUGGAUUGCCUUUAUGUAGGGUCUUUCAUGGGAGGAUACUACUGCACUAUCUAACAGCAAAUUCCACUUGCCCAUUCAUCUGUUUGUUUCUAAACAAACAAGUAAAAGAUCAUUCAUGUUCUCUCUAUUGCCGCCACAGGGAGAGUGGGGGAGAAGAUUUUGUACCUAAGCUUUGUGGCAAUUUUGCAAGAUUCCUUUACAAACAUUCCUCAAUACACCUGAGGUAGUUAUCUUUUUUAAAGGUAAGAGAACAGGAGCUUAAAGACUUGCCCAAAGUAAUUAGAGAGACCAGGUGGGUGAGGUAAUACAAGCUUUUGAGCCACACAGAGCUUUUCUUCAGAUCUGGGAAAGGAACUCCCAGGUCACAGAAAAAUGCAAGGUGAAACAGAUUGUUUAGCAUAAGUAGUUAGCGCAUAAUGUAUGGGAGCUUAAAUUUAUUACUCUGCUAGACACUACAAAUAAUGGAUUUAUGGCUCAUUACAAUAAUCUGUAACCCACUGACCCAGUGGUUCUCAACCUAUUUAUCACUGUGGGCCAAUGCAGGUUGAGAACCACAGCGCCCCUGCCCCCCAAAGUCCACUAUGCCCAGCGCCCCUCACCCUGAGACCCCUCCACAGAGCGGGGCCAGAAGUGGGCAGGUGGCACCCACAUGCCACCACGCGGGGCUGAGCAGCCUAAAACUUGCUGCAGCACCCCCACAAAUUCCUAGUUCAAAGUGCCCCCUCACUGCCCAGAGUGCCCUCUCACCCCAAAAACCUGCCCAGAGAUCCACUCUCCUUCAGCCUGCCCCCCUAUGGCACUCACCAGCCCCCUGCUAGCAGGAGUGCUCCAGCAGGCUGCCAGAUGGUGUCUCCCCCUCAGCCAGCUCUGCCCCCCUUUCAGACCAGAAUGGCAAAUUUUGAAUUUUUUUUAGCAUGCACUGGGCCCGCAGGCUGCCUGCUACACUAACCCCAUAUUUUUGUUCUCUGACUGGAGAGGUGUUAAUGGGGCACUCUAUCUUGAAUGGUCCCUUGCAACACCCUUUUUCUUUCUGAGGCCCACCCAACAUGCUAUAAAAACUCCAUGGCCCACCUGUGGCACAGUAAUGAGUUUUCUGCAUAAAGAAGCCAGGGCCUUUGUUAGGGGUAACAAGCAGGUCAGUGGGCUGUUAAACACUUUGCAUUUUGUUGUGACACUGGGAAUUCCUUUCCCAGACCUGAAGAACAGUUCUAGGGGUCUCAAAAGCUUGUGUCUCACCACCAGAAGUUGGACCAAUAAAAGAUAUUUCCUCACGCACCUUGUCUCUCAUAUCCUGGGACCGACACAGCCACAACUAGUACAUUGCCAAAAGUCAGUGGCAGAGUAGGUAGGGAGUAGAACCUAGGACUUAUAAUUCUAAAAUUCUUGUUCCAACCAGUAAACAACACUCCCCUUACCAGGUGCCAGAACAGGGAUACAAAUGAAUCUAAAAUGGGAACAAAAGUCCCACCAAACAAAUUACAUUGAUGUGUUUUUGCAUGUGUGAAGCAGAACAUUCCAAAAAUCAGAGAGAAGGGUCUGCUGCCCCUCCUCUCAUGAUAGAUCGUUGAGCCCUCCAGAAACUCCUCCAAAGUCCAUCUCAGCACUUGGAAUUGGAGAUAAAGUCUUAGACUGAUCCCAUCUGAUUUAUCAAAAGGUUUUUUAAAAAACAACUCUGUAUCCCACACCCAGAAUUACAAUUUUUCAUUACAAACACAAAACACUGUUUCAAAAGCAAUUUGUAGAAGGAGAAACAACUCAAGAAAAAAUAUUCUAGAGUUGCAGAAGUCACAAAUUUCUUGAUCCUUUAACUAUUUAUCUCAAAACUGACUCCCUUGUAUCUAGCACAAGGCAGCUUAUGGGCAACAGGGUAGUAUUAGUAGGUAGAGGGUAUUUCACUGUUGUUUGCACUUCUUCAGUUCAUUAUCAACCCCAAAGUAAAAGCCAACAGUUCUCCAUACCUUGAAGCAUCCAAAAACUUGAAUGGUGUUACAAAAUCCUCAAUGGGAAUCAUUUCCAGGGCAGCUUUUUCCAGCUUUUUUAUCUUUUUCUUCAUACGGUCCUUUUGUGCUUGUUCUCUCCUUGGAUCUAUCUUCUUUUUCUUCCGCGGUUCUGCUCUAGCAGAGGAAAUUAAUUUAAAAAUUUUGUAUCUGUGUAUACUCAUGCAAUACUUAAUACUUUUUGUUUCUAUAGUAAACCCAUCCUAGAAUAAAAGGGUGUGUCUAAUAGGGAAUAUUUAUCUAUACAUACUGGGAAUUUGAGAAGCAUUCUUGCAGCAAAUCAAUAUAAACUGUAAUAUAGUACAUUUUCUUAUAUCAAUCUGUACACAGAAGAAGAAUACUUAGCACUUUACAAACAUUAACUAAUUAGUCCUUACAGCACUCCUGUUAUACUUAGAAAAUGAAAACCAGCAGGAUCUUAUUUAGGGGAUAAGGCAAUAUGCUGUGUUUAUUGUGAAUACAGAAAGAAUUAAUCAGUUACAGCUAUAACAUGCUACUCACUCACACAAGUUCUGCAAGGUGGUUGUUAUAGUUACCAAUCUUAAAGUUGCUCGUGCCAAGUCACUGGCCAGGUGGCCAGGACAUGUGGAGCCGAGUCUUGUCAGAUGCGCAUCCGAUGCUCCUGGAGGGUGGUUGCAGAACCAGACUCAAAGUUCCCAGUUUUUAGAGUCUAUCUUUAUAGGGAUUCAUCCUCAUUCAAAUCUAUAGGGUUUGCUUUGUCAUGCUGUUUUUAUGUUUGAAGUGAUAAUCAAUCACCGUUCUCACGUUUGAAAUUACAGUCAAUCACACAGAUGGCACAGCAAUGAUGGCUUGUUGUUAUCUUGGUCUUUGGCCCCCCUGUCCUUGGGGCAGUUGCGGGGUGGAUUUUGGCUUGCCCUCAGGGUAAUCCAGUUAUCUUACCCAACGCAUUCUCAUUCUUUGGCCUAUUGGUUUUUCCUCUAGAUGUAGUGUUAUUUAUUAGGCUGGCACUUCAAUCUUUUAUUACUCAUUCAAACAUACAUCCGCAAUCACACCCUAUUUUACUUAACAUACCUCCUACAUUUUAUUACCUAUGCAUUCUUUAACAUAACUAUUCUCAAAUCACUGGGGCAUGACAGACUCCAAUUAAUCUAUCCAUGCCACUUGUUAUACAUUAAAAAAAAAAAAAACCAA